UACAGAGGUCUCAAGCGUUGUUCGGAUUCAUUGGGCGUAAAGGGCGCGUAGGCGGCCAGCACAAGUCAGUUGUGAAAUCUCCGAGCUUAACUCGGAAAGGUCAACUGAUACUGUGCGGCUAGAGUGCGGAAGGGGCAACUGGAAUUCUUGGUGUAGCGGUGAAAUGCGUAGAUAUCAAGAGGAACACCUGCGGCGAAGGCGGGUUGCUGGGCCGACACUGACGCUGAGGCGCGAAAGCUAGGGGAGCGAACGGG
rnacentral:rRNA from 1 species